rnacentral:rRNA from 1 species
AUACGACUCUCGGCAAUGGAUAUCUCGGCUCUCGCAUCGAUGAAGAGCGCAGCGAAAUGCGAUACGUGGUGUGAAUUGCAGAAUCCCGCGAACCAUCGAGUCUUUGAACGCAAGUUGCGCCCGAGGCCAAUCGGUUGAGGGCACGUCUGCCUGGGCGUCAAGC